AACGAACGCUGGCGGCAUGCCUAACACAUGCAAGUCGAACGAGACCUUCGGGUCUAGUGGCGCACGGGUGAGUAACGCGUGGGAACCUGCCCUUAGGUUCGGAAUAACUCCCCGAAAGGGGUGCUAAUACCGGAUAAUGUCUUCGGACCAAAGAUUUAUCGCCUUUGGAUGGGCCCGCGUUGGAUUAGCUAGUUGGUAGGGUAAAAGCCUACCAAGGCGACGAUCCAUAGCUGGUCUGAGAGGAUGAUCAGCCACGCUGGGACUGAGACACGGCCCAGACUCCUACGGGAGGCAGCAGUGGGGAAUAUUGGACAAUGGGCGAAAGCCUGAUCCAGCAAUGCCGCGUGAGUGAUGAAGGCCUUAGGGUUGUAAAGCUCUUUUACCCGGGAUGAUAAUGACAGUACCGGGAGAAUAAGCUCCGGCUAACUCCGUG
rnacentral:rRNA from 1 species